rnacentral:rRNA from 1 species
UACAGAGGGGGCAAGCGUUAUUCGGAAUUAUUGGGCGUAAAGGGCGCGUAGGCGGCCUGGCAAGUGACGGGUGAAAUCCCUCGGCUUAACCGAGGAACUGCCUGUCAGACUGCUUGGCUUGAGACCGGGAGAGGUGAGUGGAAUUCCCAGUGUAGCGGUGAAAUGCGUAGAUAUUGGGAGGAACACCAGUGGCGAAGGCGGCUCACUGGACCGGUACUGACGCUGAGGUGCGGAAGCGUGGGGAGCAAACAGG